rnacentral:rRNA from 1 species
AGGGGCAGCGGGGAAAAGCUUGCUUUUCCGCCGGCGACCGGCGCACGGGUGCGCACCGCGUAUGGAACCUGCCUUGUACAGGGGAAUAGCCCAGGGAAACUUGGAUUAAUGCCCCGUAGUACCGUAUUUCGGCAUCGUUAUACGGUUAAAGCCUUCGGGCGGUACAAGAUGGCCNUGCNUNCCCAUUAGCUUGUUGGUAAGGUAACGGCUUACCAAGGCUACGAUGGGUAGGGGCCCUGAGAGGGGGAUCCCCCACACUGGUACUGAGACACGGACCAGACUCCUACGGGAGGCAGCAGUGAGGAAUAUUGGACAAUGGAGGAGACUCUGAUCCAGCCAUGCCGCGUGCAGGAAGAAUGCCCUAUGGGUAGUAAACUGCUUUUAUACGGGAAGAAAAAGAGCUACGUGUAGCUUACUGACGGUACCGUAAGAAUAAGGACCGGCUAACUCCGUGCCAGCAGCCGCGGUAAUACGGAGGGUCCGAGCGUUAUCCGGAAUUAUUGGGUUUAAAGGGUCCGUAGGCGGGCCGAUAAGUCAGGGGUGAAAGUCUGCCGCUCAACGGUAGAACUGCCUUUGAUACUGUCGGUCUUGAGUUAUAGUGAAGUUGCCGGAAUAUGUAGUGUAGCGGUGAAAUGCAUAGAUAUUACAUAGAACACCGAUUGCGAAGGCAGGUGACUAACUAUAUACUGACGCUGAUGGACGAAAGCGUGGGGAGCGAACAGGAUUAGAUACCCUGGUAGUCCACGCCGUNNNGAUGGAUAC